UUUAUCUAUGCUAUGGAUCAUUUGAAUCGACUAUCUAAUUUUUUAAAAUUUUAAUUUUACUAUUUAAUCUCUUUUUUAAUUUGUUUGAUUUAAGUCAGUUAAUAAUAUUUUGUUAUUGUUGACUUUAAAUUUUAAAAUAAUUAUUUAUUUUAAUAAUUUUAUAGUUAUGAGAAUUGUAUAAAAUAUACUAAUAAGUGAACUUGUAAGACAAAUUACAGGUUCAAAUUUUAAAGACAAAGCACCGUUGAUUGAUUGAAAGUAAAUAAAACUGAAAGGUUGAAUAGUAAACUCAAAAUUUUUGAAAAUUAGAUAACUAAUUCAAAAAUAUUCAUAGUUCAAAUAAUUUUCUUAAUAAUAGAAAAAUAAAGCAAAACAGAAUUAAUGAACUAGACAAAUCAUUUGAAUCCCAAGUUGAUUUGAUUCCGAGAGCGCAAAAGCAUAACCCAGCUGAGAGCUGCUUGUUAUUAAUUAUAUAUAUUUUCCUUUCUCAAUCUCCAACACCGAUAACAAAGCGGGGAAAACAAAAAAAAAAAAAAAAAAAAAAAAAAAAGAAAAAAGAGCCCCAGUUCUCAUAAUAGUAAAUGCAAAAGAUCAUUGUUGCAAUUCAUAACAACAAUACAAGGUUACAAAUACUAAACGUAAGCUCUAAUUAAUUACUUUGAAUUAACCAUGAUCAGGUAGAGGUCUAGAUCUCACAUAUAUGAUACUUCAAACUUUGGUUUCGCCCGGAACUCCACUUCCGGAUUCAGUACGUAGUAGUAGUAGUAGUAGUAGUAGUAGUAGUUCUUGAGCUGAGAGAGCCCAACUGAAGUGAACGGGGGAACUCCGGAAAACAUCUCCCUCUUCUCGGAGGCUACAACUUCUUCUUAAGCUGCUGCUUCUCAAUGGCUCUUCUUCUUGUGUCGGUGAAAAUUUAUACUGGGAAUAUUUUGUAUCGUACGUGCUACACGGUUAUAUAUAUCUCUUGCUUUAUGCUGCGGUUAGUAGGAAUGUUAACGGAUCCGAAUAAUCCAAUAACCCGAGCCAAAUACGCUUCGGAGCGUGGGGUUUUAGUCCUGCAAAUUCAUCGAUCCGUUAAUCUUCUGUGAGUCUAUUACUAGCUACUAUAAUCGACAAUUCCGGUUCUGUUAGAUUUCCGCCACGAUUUAACUAUCCGAAACCCGUUUUCGGUCGGAGGCAAAGCGGAUUCAGAUAGAUUUAUGGUGAUCCAACACGAGGCCCAUUUAACCCUCUCCACGGAAGGGGUGUGAUCGCAAAUUAAGAUACUUUUGGGCUGGCUACAGACAUUCAUUGAACCUGGACACGUUCUUUAAUUUAGCACUUUUUUUUUUGGUAUGGGUGAGACGAGAAUCAGUACACCUCAGUGGUCCACAAAGCCAACUAGUGCAGUAUCCUUUUGUUGGCUAAGUCUCUUUCUCCAGUAUCUUCAAAGAUGCCAUUUACACAAUCCUUCUCCAAAAGAGCAAAAUGAGCUUACUUUGACGCGCUUAAUAGAGAACACAGUUUCUUCUCUCAUCUUCCCUUUCCUCUUCUUCAAACCGCGCGUGAAUGUCGCCUCUAUUAAGUUAGACUGAUCUGUUUCGACUCCUAACCUUCUGAAUAGUGGUUGUGUGUUACUGCGAGCUUAUGCUGUGUAUUUUUC
rnacentral:lncRNA from 1 species